GACCCGGUAGCUCAGCAGGUAGAGCACCUGACUUUUAAUCAGGGGGUCGCGGGUUCGAAUCCCGCCCGGGUCACCA
rnacentral:tRNA from 1 species